AUUGAACGCUGGCGGUAGGCCUAACACAUGCAAGUCGAACGAGUGGCGGACGGGUGAGUAAUGUCUGGGAAACUGCCCGAUGGAGGGGGAUAACUACUGGAAACGGUAGCUAAUACCGCAUACCAUCGGAUGUGCCCAGAUGGGAUUAGCUAGUAGGUGGGGUAAAGGCUCACCUAGGGGACGAGCCCUAGCUGGUCUGAGAGGAUGACCAGCCACACUGGAACUGAGACACGGUCCAGACUCCUACGGGAGGCAGCAGGGGGGAAUAUUGCACAAUGGGCGCAAGCCUGAUGCAGCCAUGCCGCGGGUGUGAAGCAGGCCUUCGGGUUGUAAAGCACUUUCAGCGGGGAGGCGUUACCCGCAGAAGAAGCACCGGCUAACUCCGUGCCAGCCGCCGCGGUAAUAC
rnacentral:rRNA from 1 species